rnacentral:lncRNA from 1 species
AUGGCACAAGUGCUAUCCCAGCUCUCGCUGCAGACGGACGCGAGUUUAUGCGGGCGGAGAGAAACCCAAGGCGACAUGAAAAGGCUGAGCCCCCUCCGCAAGUGGACUUGGCAAUCCUGCCGGAAUGACCUUCUCGUUUCACGUCUAGGAAGGAGCCUUCCUCCCCAUCCCGCAGGGCUUGGAGUUAGCAGAGAGGGAGGAAGAGGGAGAAAGGAGAAUCUUGCACAUGGUAGAGUCACGAAUCCGAGUUCUUGGCCGAAAAAAACGCUGGUUUGUGGCACGAUCCUCCGCAGGACUGACAUCGCAAAGGAGAAAAGGAACCGAACCCCAACCCCAUCGGCGGUUUUCCUAUGGCUGGAUGCACCUCUUCCAAAACGGCUCGGACUGAAAGCGUGGAGAAAAGGGGAAAUUUGGUUCUUCUAUAGAAUCUAUUUAGCCAAUUUCUCCACUUGUAAUACACUCUCCCUUGUAAAAAUGAGCCUGCGGGGACUGGGUGCUGUUGGAAACCUACUAAACAAAUAUUUUGUAGUUGCAGUUGUUUCUAUAUUCGCGACACAUUCUCAAAAAUAUAAAAAAGACGCCGAUUUAAAUAGAUAACAAAGGGCAAUAAUUAUCUUUGAAAGAAGGAGGAGUGGGAGCUUACAGAUUUUGGAAACCAUUAAAUAUAAAUCAAAACUUCAUAUUGGAAAAGAAAGACCCCAAACCAAACCCAGCCAAACCCCUGCUAUAAAACCACGAGGGAGGAAGAGCAGGGGCACAUUUCCGAGAGCUCCGAGCCCCGGCGGGUGUUUGCCCCUUUCUUUCCAGCCUCCUCCAGCCCCGGCGCUCCUCCUGCCCGGGACUGACCCGGGACAACGCUCAGGACCCCGCACUUCUCCGGGCUCCAACCGCGGGUGGUGAAAUUGGGGUGUUUUCCCCCAUUUCACCUCCUUUCUGCCUCCCAUCUAUUCCAACAGGUCCCCACUCGAGCUCGCAACGGGCCUUCGUCUAAUUAUAAAUGAACCCUUCCUCCUCCAGGGUCGGAUCCUGCACUGCAGUCCCUCGGGGAGGGGGAGACUUUGCCCUUCAGCCUCCCUCCUUCUCUUCCCCCGGGAACCAAAGUCCAGACCCGCUUUGCGCACUGACCCAAAGAGUAAUCCGUGGGUGCUUCCAGCAAGCCGGGAGACAAAACCAGCGUGUGCCCGAGAGGGACCGGCCGUGACCGUCCCUCCCCGGCCGCCGAGGCCGAGGAACCGGGGUCCCCUCCUUGCACUUGGUCCUUUAUCGUUACUGUCUUCCCAUCACCGGGAUCCGUCGGGGAACUGGGGAGGGGGAACGGGAAGGGUAAAUUGAAGCAGGCCUUUUAAAG